CCCUUAGAUGUCCGGGGCCGCACGCGCGCUACACUGAAGGAAUCAGCGUGGCUUUCUCCCUGACCCGAAAGGGUUGGGAAACCCGUUGAAUCUCCUUCGUGAUAGGGAUUGGGGCUUGAAAUUGUUCCCCAUGAACGAGGAAUUCCCAGUAAGCGCGAGUCAUAAGCUCGCGUUGAUUACGUCCCUGCCCUUUGUACACACCGCCCGUCGCUCCUACCGAUUGGGUGUGCUGGUGAAAUGUUCGGAUCGGCCGUUUGUCGCGGUUUCCGCGUCAUGUGGCUGAGAAGUACAUUAAACCCUCCCACCUAGAGGAAGGAGAAGUCGUAACA
rnacentral:rRNA from 1 species